rnacentral:rRNA from 94 species
CCUGGCGGCACUAGCGCGGUGGUCCCACCUGACCCCAUGCCGAACUCAGAAGUGAAACGCCGUAGCGCCGAUGGUAGUGUGGGGUCUCCCCAUGCGAGAGUAGGGAACUGCCAGAC